UAGGCCUGUAUGCAUUAGUGAAACUCAGUUAAAUGGUCCGGUUACUCCUCUUAUGAUGGGGCUGUCCAAUAAUAACCCCACCGUAGUGUUUCGCCCAUGGUUGUAGGGGGGCUAAUGUAAUCGACGGGACGGCGAUUUAAAUUGAAGGGGGUAGAUUGUAAUGGGAUAUGGGUUGGGCACUACAAGUCCCAGCAGUCCCAGGGCUCUUAAAAGGAAGUAGUAAGGUUGUGUUUGUUCCUUUUACUUCCGUCUUUUGAUUUUGGGGAAAGGUGGCGUGGAAGGUAGAGUGGCAUGUAGAUGUUACUUUGGGGAUAUGAGCGCAGAUAAUCAUUGCCGCCAAAUACCGCGGGAGCGUUGCUGAGAACUGAGAAUAUGAUGUACCGACUAAUAGUAGGUAGAAGUCUGGUCAUAUUGAUUUUGUUUAUAGGUGUUUUGUUUUAAUUAAAUUAUCUGCCUUUUUAUUUUAGUGGUGUGACUGGAUUAUUGCCUGACUGUGGCCUGACCAUCUUGUCGAAAUAGUGGAUGUGAAAGGUUUGCAGUGUGAUUGCUGUGAGCUUGGCUGCUGUGAGAACACUUUGGCUUCUAGGCCCUUCUUUCACUUUCUUAGGCAACCUGCGGCCACCUAGGGCCAGUUUUCUUUUAUUUCUUUUUCUUUAUUUUGUGGGCAUUUACAUCCAAAAGGGUAUGUGAUAUGUUUUAAUAUGUUUGACUUGUCUUUAAUAAAAAUGUAUUUGAUUCUUUAAAGUCACCUCAUGGCCCCUUCUUUUGGG